CGGAGCUAAUCCCUUAAAGACCAUUCUCAGUUCGGAUUGUAGGCUGAAACUCGCCUACAUGAAGCUGGAGUUACUAGUAAUCGCAGAUCAGAAUGCUGCGGUGAAUGCGUUCCCGGGUCUUGUACACACCGCCCGUCACACCACGGGAGUCGGUAACACCCGAAGUCGGUAGCCUAACCGUAAGGAGGGCGCCGCCGAAGGUGGGAUUGAUGACUGGGGUGAAGUCGUAACAAGGUACC
rnacentral:rRNA from 1 species